rnacentral:lncRNA from 1 species
UUAAAGCCACCACCAUCUACUUCACUGCCCCAAGUAUGCUCAAACUUUGACCUCAUCUCACACGUACUGUUUCUUUACGCAAAACCCGGGCGUCACCAUGUUGCAUGGGAAGUGUUCGACGUAAUGCCUGAGAGAAAUGACGUUGUUCGAAAUACCCCCAACAAGACUUCUUUCUUCUUCACUUUAACAACCCCCAAAUCUUCAGGUAACAUCUACAGCUAUAUAUAACUUGAAGACACUUUAGGAGCUUGAAAAGCCUGAUCGUGGGAGUUACUUGCAGGAGUUGAGAAAGAAAUUAAAUAUGGGGGAUGGCUCAAUGAUCUGAAGCAAUUCGGCAAGAAGAACAGGUAACAUAGAGUUGAAUUGGUUUAAAUGGUCAAAGUAAGUGCUCCUUAUGCCAAAUAUUAUUCUAAUGAGACUUGCUAUUUAAAAUUCAUCUGGAUGAUAUGAGAUACUGGAUUCAAAUGUUCAAAUUAAAGCCCUAGCUACACUUUCUUGCUGAUCUUUGUAAGUGAAGAUAAGAUUUCGUUCAUGUCGGGUCGAUCAUCUGGAUCCGGUCGAGUGCAGCAUAAAGCCAACUGAAGAAUCUGUUCUACAACACUCUGUUUUGUGUUGAAGUCGGAAGCCAAAUCAGGAUCUACAACUUCAAUCAGCUCAUUCAUUUCUUUUGAAAUUGCUUGUUCUAUCAACUGUGGCAAAGUGAUGUGGAUUCCGUUGUCUUCGAUUUUUUUGCAUGUGCAGAUGCUAAAGGCGAAGAGAACAUGUUCUUGGACAAGCUUCGGAAUGAAGGCACGACGUGAAGGCACUUAAGAGAUAAAAAUGAUCGAGUUGCCGCUGACCAUUACCAACACCACAAGGAUCUCAAGCAUUGAAGUCAAAAGAUUCACAAGCAUAAUCAAAGGGGGAGUUUAUUGACACACUACCUAAAUGAAAAGGGAGUUUGUUGAUACACUUUCUACUUACGACGCGUGAAGACUUUGAAGAUCCUCCGACGUGGAAGAUAUGGAAGUUGAACCUCACGAGUAGCGUCCAAGGGGGAGUUUGUUGAUACAUAUUAUGUGGACACGACUCGGUUCGGUUCGACUCGGUUCGGUUCGACCCGGUUAGGUUCGGCUCAAGCCCGACGUCACGACAUUCCUCCGUCGUGCGUCCCAGAGUUCGACACGCGAAGCACGGAGCGCCGCGAGCCGGUUCCCGCCGCCACAUCAUCAUGACAUCAUCAUGAUGAUGUCAUGAUGAUGUCAUACCCUUUGACCAAAUGCAUUUUGCAAUGGCUGGCAUGGAAUUUACGUAAAGAAUGGUUGUGAUUGGGCCAUUUUUUGUGGGCUGAUACAACAUUGGGCCGAAACCCAUAUUAAACAACAUGUGAAGAAAACAUAAAAAAUGAAAUGAAGUGAUUUCGGAAAAUAGAACCAGAGGAGGAGGGCACAAGGAAGAACACAUACCCGAGAGAACUAGUGAGAGUUUGCAAAGAUUAAUUUGUAAACAUUGAUUUGUAACCGUUUCAAGUAUUAAUACAUUGGUGUUA